rnacentral:rRNA from 1 species
GACGAACCGUGCGAACGUUAUUCGGAAUCACUGGGCGUAAAGCGCACGUAGGCGGGUUGCUAAGUCAGGGGUGAAAUCCUGGAGCUCAACUCCAGAACUGCCUUUGAUACUGGCGAUCUUGAGUCCGGGAGAGGUGAGUGGAACUGCGAGUGUAGAGGUGAAAUUCGUAGAUAUUCGCAAGAACACCAGUGGCGAAGGCGGCUCACUGGCCCGGUACUGACGCUGAGGUGCGAAAGCGUGGGGAGCAAACAGG